UGCAAAGGGUGGAUCGGAGAGUGGAGGGCAGCCACCAGGGACGAUGGUGGAGAAGCUGAGUGCGUGGAGCGGCAGGUCCGUCCCACAGCCUCCGCUGUGGCCUCAGGCCAAGAUGGGCGGCUGGGGCAGAAAGGGGCUGCGGCAGGGAGCCCUUCCUUCUAGGUCUGGUGCUCAGUGGUUUCCUGCUCUGCUGAAGGGCCGUUGCUCGGUGGUGAUGAUUCAUGGCAUUUGGACACUGUGGCCGUGUUCUGAACAGGGAAGUGAAAAAUAACACAGCCGAGGGCAGUGCAGGGCAGGGCAGGGGCUGUCACAAGAUGGGAAGCUUUCCUUUGGAAAAUGCAGGGGGCGGGGGCGUCACAGCCAAGUUGGUGGCGGCGGUUCAUGCCGCGUGAGUGUGGCCCCGUUUGCUCUUCUUCUGGGCAUCAACUUUUCCAAGUGUCGGCCACUAAGUUGUCCCUCGGAAGUGGCUGCUGGUCUUGGCCGAACCGCCGUGAGGAGGAGGAAGUGGACGGGUGAUUCAGUGAGUGUCAGCUUCCUCUGUGACUCGGGAUUGGAUCCGUUUCUUAGGGUGGUGCCAGAGGGCCUGUGUGGCUUUGAAAUUGUCUGCCACUGGCGGUGGCCCUCCCUUGACCCCUUUUGAACGAGUAAGGGGAUUCAGCUGGAUUCUGCAGCCUCCCCCCAAGUUGGGCAGGCCCUUCUGACUUGAGGCCGACCUGUGGCUCCGGCCGACAAAGAUCAGUGACGGGCCCAGCUGAGGCCUCUGCUGGGUCUGUGUGCGUGUCAGGAGCUGCCUCGUAUUUGGGAACUGGAUUGCGAGAGCAGCUGGGAUCUGAGGGGCCCAGUCCCGGCAGGUGUUAGACUGAGGGAGGAGGCAGUUCAACUGCCCGGAGCCACCAGCUCUCCUGGAGGCCAUUUGUCCACGUAGCCAGUGGACGACAGGAGACGGCCAGAUGCACAGCUGCUUCCUUCCCACGAGGAGAGUCAUGACUGGCUUUUUCUUCCGGAGCACCGAGUUUUCCAUGGAUCUGUCGUUGGCGCGCAGCCUAAGCGGCCAUUGCUGCCCUCGCCUGAAACCUGUUCUAAGAAGCACUUCAAUCAUCCAGAUCCUCGCCUCUGCCCAAGAGUCCAUAGUCCUAAAAGCACUGACUUGGUAAAGACUGAAAAACCCUCUCAAAAAAUGCUGCAGGGGCUUCUGUAUUCGAAUGCCUUCCAUCACCUCGGAGAACAGCCUCCGCUUCCGGGUCAGUUCUGUCCCACCUCUUCCCCCCUCCGUCCCCUCCUGUUUCUGUGGCCAGAACAGAGGUCAGCUGGUCUUACUCAGGCAGGAUGGCCAGCAUCCAGUCACUGGUGUAUUUAAUGAGGACUCUAGUGUUAGUCACACGCACAGCAGUGCAGCUCAAACCAGUCGGGGCUUCCAGAAAGGAGCUCUGUGUGACAACUGUACAAGGGGGGAGGGGCCCCGAGGCACUUGCAGCUGGGACCUGACCCUGCUGGGUGCUCUGUCCUUUCUCUCACAUCAUCUUCCAGCAAAACAGUGAUUUUGAUCUCUUUGAUAAGCUUUCUCCACACGGAAUGUGCACGAUUGCAGUUUGCUUAUCACACCUCGCAGCAUCACUGCCAGAGAGGGGCUGAGAGUUCCAAAGUUCCAGAGAGAGGCCUCGAUGGCCUUCCCUGGGGUCAGAUGACCAUCACUGACUCAAUCACUGUGGCCAGGGAAGGAUCUCUGAGCACAUGGCUGUUUCGCAUUUGGACCCUAUGAUUAGCGCUGCGCUAAGCAGGGGAGGCAGUAUUUUCCAGAAGGAGGGGCUCCUGUCCAGGUCAGACAAACAAUGGGCCCACUGCCCCGGCGUGCUGAGCUCUUCCUCACCCCCAGGCUGAGGACUCAGGCCCUCACUGCCUCCCCUCUGCCUCUCCCGGGCCAGGGGGUCCCCUCAGAACCCACUGUUUUAUUGCUUAAAAAUCCAUAAGAGAUGGGGGUUUUCUCAGCUAAGUUUUUUGCGGGGGGCGGAAUACAUGUCUAGGGCGGGAGCUGUACGAUUUUCUGAGGAGACGGCCUCGGAGGAUCUAAGCAACGAGUGAAGGAACAACAAAGGGACCCUUCUCAGAAGCAUGGCAAAAAUGAAACCAAAUAAAAACCCCAUAAAAAUCCCUACUGGGGCAGAGGAAAUACCAGCGUGAUGCUUUUGAGCCACAUCUUCAGUAAUAAAGGAAAGAUUCAAGGAUCGGCCGUUCUGACGGGAUUAUGUUUGGGCUUGAGGGAGAAUGUGCUGGAAAACAAUGAAAGGGAGUCAUCCAAGCAAGGGAGGUCUGUUGGUGCGUGCAUUUGUAUGUGUGUUGUUGCAAUUCAGGAACUGACCGAUGACCAGGGUCAUGGGGAGUCUGAGAGAGACACCCGACAGGAACCGGUUCAAAGUUUGUGCCCAGCCUGGGGAGAUCAGAUGACCGGCAGCUGGCCUGCCCCCUGCCGGCUCCCAUUGAUGUCGGAGGGGCUCUGACCCCCGUUUGGUCACAGAAAUACCCGUUUGGAAAUCUCUUUGAAGGCUGAUUAAGUAAACGCUCUCGCGGCACCGACAGUAACAACCGAGUGACGUAGGCGAAGUGCUCGUGGGCCAAGCUUGUAGGAGGGACUCCACACACGUUCGCUGACUUCUCUUCCUGCUUCACCUCUGUUAUGGUUCACGUUCUACGUUCACGUCCAUGAUGUUGAAGUGCUAAUCCCCAGGACCCCGGAAUGUGACUGUGUUUGGAGAUAGGGUCUUUAAAGGGGUAGUUACGUUAAAAUGAGGUCAUUUUAAGUGAAAAUGAGGCCCUGAAGCAAUCCUUUUAAAAAAAAUUUCUUUUAAUGUUUAUUUUUGAGAAAGAGAGACAGAGCAUGAGCAGGGGAGGGGCAGAGAGAGGGGAAGACACAGAAUCCAAAGCAGGCUCCAGGCUCCGAGCUGUCAGCACAGAGCCCAACGCGGGGCUCAAACUCGUGAACCGAGAGAUCGUGACCUGAGCCGAAGUCGGACGCUCAACCGACUGAGCCACCCAGGCGCCCCCAAACCAAUCCUUAUAGGAAGAGGAGUUCGCAACCCAGGCACAUACAAGGGGAAGAUGAUGUGAAGACACAGGGGGAAGACAGCCAUCGACAAGCCAAGGAGAGAAGCCUGGGACCGAUCCUUCGUCCAAGAAGGAGCCAACCCUGUCGACACCUUGGUCUUGCACUUCCAGCCUCCAGAGCUGUGGAGAAAUAAAUUUCUGUUGUUUAAGCUGU